AAGAUACUAGUAAAAUAUAUUACACUGCCUUGUCAGGGCAGAAUUGUGAGUUAAAUUCCCGCGUAUCUUA
rnacentral:tRNA from 1 species